AUCGAACGCUGGCGGCAGGCCUAACACAUGCAAGUCGAACGAGUGGCGGACGGGUGAGUAAUGUCUGGGAAACUGCCCGAUGGAGGGGGAUAACUACUGGAAACGGUAGCUAAUACCGCAUACCAUCGGAUUUGCCCAGAUGGGAUUAGUUAGUAGGUGGGGUAACGGCUAACCUAGGCGACGAUCCCAAGCUGGUCUGAGAGGAUGACCAGCAACACUGGAACGGAGACACGGUCCAGACUCCUACGGGAGGAGGAAGUGGGGAACAUUGCACAAUGGGCGCAAGCCUGAUGCAGCCAUGCCGCGUGGAUGAAGAAGGCCUUCGGGUUGUAAAGUACUUUCAGCGAGGAGGCGUUACUCGCAGAAGAAGCACCGGCUAACUCCGUGCCAGCAGCCGCGGUAAUAC
rnacentral:rRNA from 1 species